rnacentral:rRNA from 1 species
UACAGAGGUCCCAAGCGUUACUGAGAAUCACUGGGUUUAAAGGGUGCGUAGGUGGUCCGUUAAGUCAGUUGUGAAAUCCCCGGGCUCAACCCGGGAACUGCUUCCGAUACUGGCGGACUUGAGGCCAGUAGGGGUCACUAGAACUGACGGUGGAGCGGUGAAAUGCGUAGAUAUCGUCAGGAAUGCCGGUGGUGAAGACGGGUGACUGGGCUGGUUCUGACACUGAGGCACGAAAGCGUGGGGAGCGAACGGG